GAGGGAUCAAAAGUGGAGGAAUCU
rnacentral:miRNA from 1 species